rnacentral:rRNA from 1 species
CAGUAGCCGCGGUAAUACGAAGGGGGCAAGCGUUGUUCGGAUUUACUGGGCGUAAAGCGUACGUAGGCGGAUAUUUAAGUCAGGGGUGAAAUCCCGAGGCUCAACCUCGGAACUGCCUUUGAUACUGGGUAUCUUGAGUGCAGAAGAGGAGAGUGGAAUUCCGAGUGUAGAGGUGAAAUUCGUAGAUAUUCGGAGGAACACCAGUGGCGAAGGCGGCUCACUGGCUCGAUACUGACGCUGAGGUGCGAAAGCGUGGGGAGCAAACAGGAUUAGAUACCCGUGUAGUCCCUGUCUCUUAUAC